UACGGGGGGGGCAAGCGUUGUUCGGAAUUACUGGGCGUAAAGGGCGCGUAGGCGGGUGGACAAGUCUCUCGUGAAAGCCCACGGCUCAGCCGUGGAAUUGCGGGAGAUACUGUCUGUCUUGAGUCCGGGAGAGGAGGGUGGAAUUCCCAGUGUAGCGGUGAAAUGCGUAGAUAUUGGGAGGAACACCGGUGGCGAAGGCGGCUCUCUGGACCGGUACUGACGCUGAGGCGCGAAAGCUAGGGGAGCAAACGGG
rnacentral:rRNA from 1 species